CUUUUUCUGUGACAUCAAGUGUAGUAUCUGUUCUUAUCAGUUUAAUAUCUGUUAUGUCCUCAACCCAACUGUUGGGUUAAAACCCAAAUUAAAACCCAAAUUUUAAAAUUUGGGGUUAUGCUGAUUUUUACUGGGACAUGUAAAAAUGAAAGUAGGAAAUAUCUCAUUCAGUCUCUCAGUGCUUCACCAACU